rnacentral:rRNA from 1 species
CACGUAGGGUGCGAGCGUUGUCCGGAAUUAUUGGGCGUAAAGAGCUCGUAGGCGGUGUGUCGCGUCGGCCGUGAAAACUUGCAGCUUAACUGUGGGCGUGCGGUCGAUACGGGCAUCACUGGAGUUCGGCAGGGGAGAUUGGAAUUCCUGGUGUAGCGGUGAAAUGCGCAGAUAUCAGGAGGAACACCGGUGGCGAAGGCGGGUCUCUGGGCCGAUACUGACGCUGAGGUACGAAAGCCAGGGGAGCAAACGGG